rnacentral:rRNA from 1 species
GUGGUUUAAUUCGAAGCAACGCGCAGAACCUUACCAACCCUUGACAUCCUGUGCCACACGGAGAGAUCCGUGGUUCCCUUCGGGGACGCAGUGACAGGUGCUGCAUGGCUGUCGUCAGCUCGUGUCGUGAGAUGUCGGGUUAAGUCCCUUAACGAGCGAAACCCUUAUCUCUAGUUGCCAGCGAGUAAUGUCGGGGACUCUAGAGAGACCGCCGGUGUCAAACCGGAGGAAGGUGGGGAUGACGUCAAGUCCUCAUGGCCUUUAUGACUAGGGCUGCACACGUCCUACAAUGCAACAUACAAAGGGAAGCAAAAUCGCGAGAUCUAGCAAAUCCCAAAAAGUGUUGCUCAGUUCGGAUUGCAGGCUGCAACUCGCCUGCAUGAAGCCGGAAUCGCUAGUAAUCGCGGGUCAGCA